rnacentral:rRNA from 1 species
GCAGUCGAACGAUGAUGCCCAGCUUGCUGGGUGGAUUAGUGGCGAACGGGUGAGUAACACGUGAGUAACCUGCCCCUGACUCUGGGAUAAGCGUUGGAAACGACGUCUAAUACUGGAUAUGACUGCCGGCCGCAUGGUCUGGUGGUGGAAAGAUUUUUUGGUUGGGGAUGGACUCGCGGCCUAUCAGCUUGUUGGUGAGGUAAUGGCUCACCAAGGCGACGACGGGUAGCCGGCCUGAGAGGGUGACCGGCCACACUGGGACUGAGACACGGCCCAGACUCCUACGGGAGGCAGCAGUGGGGAAUAUUGCACAAUGGGCGAAAGCCUGAUGCAGCAACGCCGCGUGAGGGAUGACGGCCUUCGGGUUGUAAACCUCUUUUAGUAGGGAAGAAGCGAAAGUGACGGUACCUGCAGAAAAAGCACCGGCUAACUACGUGCCAGCAGCCGCGGUAAUACGUAGGGUGCAAGCGUUGUCCGGAAUUAUUGGGCGUAAAGAGCUCGUAGGCGGUUUGUCGCGUCUGCUGUGAAAUCCCGAGGCUCAACCUCGGGCUUGCAGUGGGUACGGGCAGACUAGAGUGCGGUAGGGGAGAUUGGAAUUCCUGGUGUAGCGGUGGAAUGCGCAGAUAUCAGGAGGAACACCGAUGGCGAAGGCAGAUCUCUGGGCCGUAACUGACGCUGAGGAGCGAAAGCGUGGGGAGCGAACAGGAUUAGAUACCCUGGUAGUCCACGCCGUAAACGUUGGGCGCUAGAUGUA